GCACUAGAAUCUGCUACUAUUCCUGUAAAUUAAAAGAUAUUAGAAAUGUAUAACAAUAAUAGACAAAAUUUGAAAAUUACCAAAAGCCUUCUUACACUUGACUUCUAACUAUUAUAUGAAUGAAAUAGGGUCUAAUGACCAAAUCUCAAAUCCAAACUUUGCAAAGACUUGCAAUUUAUGCCAAUCCUUUUAAUUUUGACAAUUUUAGCCUAAUUUGUGAAAUUAGUUGCAAUUUUGUCCACAUGGUCAAAUUGAAAAAUAUAUAUAUAUAUAUUACAUAUGAUUAGAAUGAAAAACUAAUG
rnacentral:misc_RNA from 1 species